AAAAAAAAGAAAAAUUAGUACCAUCUUUGUUUUUUCUUAUCUUUUUUUUUUGUGAUAUGGGACUUGUUUUUCUUUUUCCUUCCGCUUCGCAUUGUGCACGCAUUUGCGUAAAAUAUAGACGGUUUCCCCUAAUGAUAAUAAUAAUAAUGAUUGAUAAUUGCUU
rnacentral:ribozyme from 1 species